rnacentral:rRNA from 1 species
AUACGUAGGGGGCGAGCGUUGUUCGGAAUCAUUGGGCGUAAAGGGCGUGCAGGCGGUCCUGCAAGUCCGGCGUGAAAGACCCCGGCCCAACCGGGGGGACGCGCUGGAAACUGCGGGGCUUGAGUACAGGAAGGGAGGCCGGAAUUCCAGGUGUAGGGGUGAAAUCUGUAGAUAUCAGGAAGAACACCAAUGGCGAAGGCAGGCAGCUGGGCAAGUGCCGACGCGGAUACGCGAAGUGGCGGGCAGAAAACAGGUGUAGAUACCCUGGUACACCGCGUAGUAAACGAUGUGCAGCAGGUGGCGGGGGUUCGACCUUCGGUACCGUAGCUAACGCAUUAAGUGCACCGCCUGGGGAGUAUGCUCGCAAGGGUGAAACUCAAAGGAAUUGACGGGG